AAAGUUGUUGCGGUUGAAAAGCUCGUAGUUGGAUUUUGGGCGAGCGCCGCCGGUCCGUCGCAAGGCGUGUCACUGGUUGCGUUCGCCUCACCUUCGGUUCUCCGUCGGUGCUCUUGACUGAGUGUCGGCGGUGGCCGAUAAGUUUACUUUGAAAAAAUUAGAGUGUUCAAAGCAGGCUGUUCGCCUGCAUAGUGUUGCAUGGAAUAAUGGAAUAGGACCUCGGUUCUAUUUUGUUGGUUUUCGGAGCACGAGGUAAUGAUUAAGAGGGACAGACGGGGGCGUCCGUACUCUGCCGUUAGAGGUGAAAUUCUUGGAUCGGCGGAAGACGAACUACUGCGAAAGCAUUCGCCAAGAAUGUUUUCUUUAAUCAAGAGCGAAAGUCAGAGGUUCGAAGACGAUCAGAUACCGUCCUAGUUCUGACUAUAAACGAUGCCAACUAGCGAUCGGGAGGCGUUACCAUGACGACCUUUCCGGCAGCUUCCGGGAAACCAAAGUCUUUGGGUUCCGGGGGAAGUAUGGUUGCAAAGCUGAAACUUAAAGGAAUUGACGGAAGGGCACCACCAGGAGUGGAGCCUGCGGCUUAAUUUGACUCAACACGGGGAAACUCACCCGGCCCGGACACAGGUAGGAUUGACAGAUUGAGAGCUCUUUCUUGAUUCUGUGGGUGGUGGUGCAUGGCCGUUCUUAGUUGGUGGAGCGAUUUGUCUGGUUAAUUCCGAUAACGAACGAGACUCUGGCAUGCUAAAUAGUUACGCGACCUUCUCGGUCGGCGUCUAACUUCUUAGAGGGACUAGUGGCGUUUAGCCACACGAGAUUGAGCAAUAACAGGUCUGUGAUGCCCUUAGAUGUCCGGGGCCGCACGCGCGCUACACUGAGUGAAGCAGCGAGUGUCUAACCUAGGCCGAAAGGUCCGGGUAACCCGUUGAACCUCAUUCGUGAUUGGGAUAGGGACUUGCAAUUGUUUCCCUUGAACGAGGAAUUCCCAGUAA
rnacentral:rRNA from 1 species